AUUUUUUUAUACAAAGAAAUACUGCUAAGUAAUAUUAAAUGAUUGAACAGCUGAUACAGCAACAACAUGGACGUAUCUCAAAAUCAUUAAGCUGAUUUAAAGAGCCCAGAUACAAGAGUAUACACUGUAUUAUCCCAUUUGUAUGAAAUUAUAGAAAAUGCAAACUAAUCUAUAGUGACAGAAAACAGAUCAGUAGUUUUCCAUGUUGGGUUGGGAGAGGUGGACAGCAAAGUGAAAUAUAAAAAUUUCUGGAGUGGUGGAAUUGACCUAUAUCCUGACUAGGUUGGUUAUUACACAGGUAUUUACAUUUGUCAAAACCCAUCAAACUGUACACUUAAAAUGGGGCCGUUUACUGUCUAUGGAUUAUGCCUCAGUGAAGUUGACACAAAAAGGUAGCUAGUGACUUCUAGUUAAUAGCAGUGACUCAAAAGUUGUUUUUUAUAUGUCUUUAAACAAUUCUUUAUAUAAUCCAGUUAUUUUGUAAAAUAGCAAACCCAACAAUGCUUGUGACUAAAAAGCCGAAAUGUAAGAUCAAGUGAGAUUGGAGCAGUUCUUGCUUCUCCAUUUCCCCUCCAUUUGUGUGUGCAGUUUUCCUCCUCUUGCCCCCUCCUCCUACUCUCUCCCCACACAUCUGAUACUUAAAAAUCCUUACCACUUGAAAGUUGUUUAUACAGUUUAAAAUUUCAGUACAUAAAAGCUUGGGUUCUUUAUAGAAAAUAUCCUUAAGAAAUGAGUGAAUAAAUAUUGUGAGGGUGGCCGGGAGUGGUGGCUCACACCUGUAAUCCCAGCACUUUGGGAGGCCUAGGAGGGAGGAUUACCCGAGAUCAGGAGUUCCAGAGCAGCCUGGCCAACAUGGUGAAACCCCUUCUCUACUAAAAAAUACGAAAAUUAGCCAGGAGUGGUGGUGGGCGCCUGUAAUCACAGCUACUCAGGAGGCUGAAGUAGGAGAAUCACUUGAACCUGGGAGGCGGAGUUUACAGUGAGCCAAGAUUGCACCACUGCACUCCAGCCUGGGUGACAGAGCAAGACUCCAUCUCAAAAAAAAAAAAAAAAGAAAGAAAAAGAAAAAAAGAAAAAAGAAAUAUUGUGGGGGCAAGAGAGAUGAUAAAUAAAAAUGAAAUUUUAAGCCUCCUAAAUGACUGAACAGACUCCCUCUUGGCCAAGGGGACCCCAGAGUAGUCUUGAAAAUUGAGCUCUUGACAAUGACAGAAUGAGAGGUCAGACACACCUAACAGAAACCAACACUAAACAGAAACCAGCCCUUGUGAAAGACUCCAUCACUGAUAGCAACCAACCCCUGACACUGUCCCCUCCCUUCAGCAGUUUGGACACAGUUGACCAGCAUUCCUUCCCAAUAAGAGACCACUGACCACAGAGUGGUUCUGGUCAAUCUACAUGCUACAUAUGAGGGGCCAUGAAGCUCCAUUGUGCAUGUUCAUGUUUCUUCUUCCAAAAAUAUUCAUGAUUUCUCCUAUAGGUUAUUAAAUGUAGAUAUUCAGCCACCCUGCUCAGCAUGAAUUCCUAUUCCUCACCUUCCUCCUCCACUGCCCCCCCACCCCCACCUUCCAAUUGACUGUUUCAGGUUUUUGGCAAGGAGCUAUGCUUCUCCGCCUGUCAGAAUGUCCACCAUGCAGGUUGCAACCCUUUAUGAAAAAUAAAUCUCUUGUUUCCAAAUUUAUGAACCUUGACAUUCUUCAAUUGACAGAGGAAAAGAUUUUGUUUGUUUUUAUUUUGAUAUAUAUAGAAGGGACUUUAGAGAUCACGUAGUCCACCAUGGUGAACUGUCAGAUCCAUUGCCUUCCUCCUCUAUGAACAGAAUCAUAAUUUUAUUUGGUAGGACAUUACUCUUAAAUGAAAUCCAACAAAUAAACAAACAAUAAUUCCACUCCAAUAUCCACUCCCUUGAACUAGCAGUGAGCAUAUGGCACAAGUAAUGACAUAUAAGCAGCAAUGACUGGGCAGCGCCUACGGGAAAAUCUAAAGCAGCUGAUACAACUUUUAUUCUACACUCUUCCUUGUCUUGUUUCCUUAAAGAGAGACAUAAAACUGGAGUCAGGAAAGCCAUCUUGCAACCACUAGGUUAUAAGUAUAAAAGCAAAAGUAUAAGAGCAACUCCAAGGGUGAGGGAUUAGAAAGCUAAGUGGAGCCUAAGUCCUGAUGGCUUCCUGGGGCUACCAAGCCCACCCUGUAUUUUCUAGUUCUGAAAUUUUUGUUACUCACAAAACAAAACAAAACACCUUAUUUGCUUAAGCCACUGUCUAUUUAAUUUUAUAUGCCACUGAAUCUAUUCCUAAAUGAUACAAUGAUACCUGCAUCCCCUUCAUCUCCUUUUACAGAUAAGAGAAUGAAGGUAAAGGAGGUUAAGUAGCUUCCUUCACUAAGUUCUACCUCUACUUAAAUGAUCCAGUUCUGCAAUCCAGUUCUAUUGACUCACAAUACCAUAACAUAUUUUCCAAUAAAAAAAAAGUUCAUAGAAGAGAAACUGGUGCGAUAAAUUUAUUCAUUCAACCAUGCAAGUCUAGAAAAGCUAAAAAAAAAUACUAGCAUUAACGCCUUGAAUUAUAUAUAGAUGCUUACAUUUGAAGAAUUUCAUUGUGUGUUGAGUAGUGGAUUUGCAGUAAAAAGAUACCUAAUAGGAAUUAAAAAUACUAAAAAUUCAAAUACAUGUCUUCUUGAGCUAAAUUGAAAUUGAAAUAGCAAGAAAAGAAGAAUUGAAGUGUUCCCAAUCCACACAGAAAAGAGAAAUGUUUGAGGUGAUUUUUAUCCCAGUUACCCUGGUUUGAUCAUUACACAUUGUAUACAUGCAUCAAAAUAUCACAUGUACCCCAAAAUAUGUACAACUAUUAUGUAUCAAUAAAAAACUACACCAAGAAAGUGGAUUUAAAAUAUAUCAUCAUGUUGGACAGAAGACUCAACAUAAUUAAAAUAUCUGUUCUGGCUUGUUAAUUUAGAAUCCUGUAAAAAUAAAUAUUGAACAGCUAGAUAGGUCUAUUAUAGAGUUCAUCUAGAAAACAAUCAAGCAAAAAUAAUCAGAAAAAACUUGACUCCCAAUAAAACAUUAAUUGAGAAAUAGCCUCACCAGACAUUAAAUAUUAUAAAGCCAUUUUAAUUAAAAGUGGAUGGCAUUUGCCCAUUAGUAAGAAGACUGUUAGAAGAGAAUUAAAAAAUUAAAAAUUAAUCAAAUUGUAUGUGUAAAUUUGGUAUAAGACAAAGGUAUAAUUAAUACCAUUAUAAUCAUGAAAAAGGAUCCAUUCCUUAUAGCAGUCACUAGAAUAAUUCCAAAGAAAUCAUAAAUUUACAUAAUUUAAAUAUUAAAAAUGAAACUACAUAAAUAUUAGACAAAAACAUGAGUAAAUUCCUCUAUAGCUUUAGUGUUAAAAAAAAUUUCCUAAUUACAGCUCAAAUCCAGAUGCACAAAGGAAAAAAUAUUUGGUGAGCUUGACAAAUAGACUAUAGAUAUAAAAAUAAAAAUGUUUCAUAGCAAAAAAUAACCACCAUUGUGAUAUUUGAAGUGAAACACCAUAAUGACAUAAUAUAAAUCUACCUCUAAUUUAUAUCAUAGACAAAAUACUAAUGUUAUUAGAAUAUAUGAGCUUCAAAUCUAUGAAAAAAAAGGAAAAUUGGCAAGGUAUAUAAAUGUACUGUUCACAGACAAAGAAGCAUAAAUCCUUUAACCAUAAGAGAAAAUGCUCAACCUGACUCAUUUAACUGAAUGCAAAUUAAAACUAACUGGGUUUCCAAUUCUCCCCUACAGAUUAGAAACUAUCAAAACUUUUGACUUUAUCCUCUGUUGGCCAGGUUGCGUAAAUGAGCCAUUCUCAUGUACUGCUGUUAAGGAUGCAAAGCAGCAUAAUCCAUAUAUGAGAAAAUUGAUGAGGCAAUAAUUGGCAAAAUUAUGAAAGCAUUUGCCCUUUGACCCAGCAAUUCUACUGCUAGUAAACAACCCCAAAGCUAAACUGAAAUCCAAAAAGAAAAGAAAAGAAGAAGGAAACAAGGAGAGAAGAGGAGAGGAGAGGAAUAUGUUCAUAGAGAAUACAGCCCAGAGUGCUGCAAUCCCAUUCAGUACUUCUUUUUUGAAAGGAGAGAAAUCCUAGCCCUGCAUAGUUAUGCAUUUCCAGCAAAAGAUAACAAGUCCCUGAAAAACAAGAACUCAUUAUAUAAGCAAACUACCAUGCUGGAAAGGCCAUGUGCCAAGGAACUGAAGACUGCCUUCAGUCAACAGCAAGUAAGAAACUGAGGCUUGUAUUCCAACAACCAGCGAGGAACUGAUCCUGCCAAGAACAAUAUGCUAUUGCCUUCUUAGCUUAUGUGCUUUAAUGAAGCUAGCUGCCAUAUUGGAGAAACAAACAUGACAAUGAACUAAGAGUAGACUCCAUCUAAUAGCCAGCUAGAAACCAAGGUCCACAUUUCAGUGACUCUCAAGCAAGUGAAUUCUUCCCACAACUGCAUGAAUUUGGAAGCACAUCUUUUCCCAGUUGAGCCUUCACAUGAGACCUAAUCCUGGGCAGCUGUGUUGUGCUGGGAAUCUGCACCUGUCCCUAGUCAUCCCACACCCUUGAGAGCCCAAAGGCAAAAUUGGCAAAGGCUGCAACAAACCCAAAGUGGCGGCUUGCCCCUCCCUGUGGAAGCUCCAUCCCAGGGAAGUGCAGAGUUGCUACUGGCCUGACAGCCCCAGUGAGCUGUGGCUGGAGUCCCAGGUCGGGAGUGCCCACCCAGUGAAAAGAAGCGGGACUGGGGACCCAUGUAAAAAACAGUCUGGCUACUUUUCCGCGGGGCAGCUGUGUUGUGCUGUGUAUCCUUGCAUGUCCCUAGUCACUGUGCACCCUCUGGAACCUGAAGGCAGUAGCAAGGAGGGCUGUGAGACAGCCAAAAUUGUGGCUUGUCUGUCCCUGUGAGAACCCAAUCCCAAGAAAGUACAGACCUCCUACCUACCUGAGAGCCCAAGAGGGAGGUGGCUGGAGUCCUAGACCAGUGAGUCUUAUCCUCCAAGCUGCAGUAGAGGUGAGGCCUGCAGUCCAUCACCAUUCAGUCCGUGGAUUCAGUCCCUUUCCUGGGGGCACAUGAGGGAGUCUGACCUACCACCCCAUUGCCAGAGCUGCAGCCACUAGUGCCAAAUGCCUGAAGAUCCAAGGCUUCUGGGACUCCAUGUGUGCCUGAGUAAUAGCUCUUCCAAAGCUCCAUGUAACUCUGUGUGACAAUCUGAAGGCCUUGGUGGGAUGAACUCAUGAGGGGAUCUUCUGAGCCCAGGAUUGCAAAAGUCCACGGAAGAAGUAUGCGUCCUGGCCGGAAGCAGUGGCUCAUGCCUGUAAUCCCAGCACUUUGGGAGGCCGAGGUGUGAGGAUCACAAGGUCAGGAGAUCGAGAUCAUCCUGGCUAAAAAGGUGAAACCCCGUCUCUACUAAAAAUACAAAAAAUUAGCCAGGCAUGGUGGCAGGCGCCUGUAGUCCCAGCUACUUGGGAGGCUGAGGCAGGAGAAUGACGUGAACCUGGGAGGCAAAAAAGGAGUAUGGGUCCCUGGGGUCUCUCACUCACUAUUUCUACAUGGUAGGGAAGCCAUCUCUGGCCCAAUGUCCCUCCUGGAUGGGAGGGCUUCCUGUCCUGCUUACCUCCAUUCUCUGUGGGUGGAGUUGUUUCCUUGAUUAAUCCCAAUGUGUCCACCUGGAUGUUUCAGAUGAUCUAGUAUUUACUCACACUUUUUCUCCCUGUGAAAUCAGCACACACUAGUUGCUUCUAGUCAGCCAGAUUGAGAAGCAACCCAAGUUCUUCCACUUAUUAAGCAACUCAUUUUUUUUUCCUGGCUUUCAGUUUACAUAUUGAUAAAACAUAUUUAUUUAAAUGUUGUUGAAAGAAUAUACUAAGAUAAUUUAAGAGGCCUAGUAUAUUUUUCUUCCUUUUUCUCAACUGUUAGAUAUUAUUAAAGAAAUAAACUGAAGUUGUUUAUACAACAAAGAAUGAAAUGUGUAUAACUAGACAGUCUACAUUAAUAAACCACCUCAAAAAUUCCUAAACAUAUUCUUUUCAGCUGUCUUUAAAUCCCCAUCUGUUAGCAGUGGUGAAUCCAUAUGGGUCUGCAGCAAACUUGAUUCUGGCCUCCUAGAAGGAAAGAAUUCAGCCAAGGGGCAUAAGGUAGAGGAGAAACUGAAGCAAGUUUUAGAGCAGGAGUGAAAGUUUAUCCAAAUGUUUUAGUGCAGGAACGAAAGAAGGUACACUUGGAAGAGGUCCAAGCCAAUGACUUGAAAGAUUCAAGUGCAUAAUUUAGCCCUCGACUUGAUGUUUUAUAUACUGGCAUGGUUCCAGGGUUUCCCUUUUUCAUCCCUUGAUUUUUCCCCUGGGUUGGGCUGUCCACAUGUGCAGUGGCCUGCUAGCACUUAGAAGAGGCUGCAUGUACAGUGUGUUUACUGAAGUUGUUUGCAUGCUCACUUGAGGUGUUCCCUUACUAGUCGAGUUUUCCUAGAGGAAGGUCCUAUACCAGUUAAACUCUGCAUUUUGCCUCUUAGUGUACAUGCUUAAGCCCACUUGCCCAACUCCUGAGAUCUUAUUGGAAAGCUGCUUAUCACCAGCUUCAGGUGUUUUCUAUCUAUUGGAAGACUGCCUUUCCCUAGUCCCAGCUGCAGCCAAUUAUUAUUUUGGAGACACAGUUUAGCAAUCUCAUGAACAUCAUCUGCUGGUCACCUGACAUUCCUGGGCGGCAUUCUCCUGCCCUGCUCAUGUCUGCCUAGCUACUCACUCAAACACAUCUACUAUGUUACAUUUAUAGUCCUUACAUUUUCUCUCCCCACAAGAAGUUGCCUGAAAUUCACCUAAAAUGAUCAUUUCUAUUUCCUGAGAGUAAUGCAAUAUGAAGCAAAUCUACAUCAAUAUAUUCCUGUUGAGUACUGCAUGACUGUUAUGAUUUUUCCUGAAUUGGAACCAAAGGGACAAAUGUAGCACCAAAGAGGAAAAGAAAAAUAAAUACAGUAAUGAAGGUAGUUCAUGAAUUGACAGUCUUGUCAGGUACACUUGCAUCUGUCAUGAGAAAUGACUAGAGUUUUACCUGAUAUCUAAAUGGAAAGAAUAUCUCUCAUAUAUAUAUACGUAUAUAUACGUAUAUAUGUGUGUGUGUGUGUGUAU
rnacentral:lncRNA from 10 species